rnacentral:rRNA from 1 species
GCGUGCCUAAUACAUGCAAGUCGAGCGAACGGACGAGAAGCUUGCUUCUCUGAUGUUAGCGGCGGACGGGUGAGUAACACGUGGAUAACCUACCUAUAAGACUGGGAUAACUUCGGGAAACCGGAGCUAAUACCGGAUAAUAUUUUGAACCGCAUGGUUCAAAAGUGAAAGACGGUCUUGCUGUCACUUAUAGAUGGAUCCGCGCUGCAUUAGCUAGUUGGUAAGGUAACGGCUUACCAAGGCAACGAUGCAUAGCCGACCUGAGAGGGUGAUCGGCCACACUGGAACUGAGACACGGUCCAGACUCCUACGGGAGGCAGCAGUAGGGAAUCUUCCGCAAUGGGCGAAAGCCUGACGGAGCACACGCCGCGUGAGUGAUGAAGGUCUUCGGAUCGUAAAACUCUGUUAUUAGGGAAGAACAUAUGUGUAAGUAACUGUGCACAUCUUGACGGUACCUAAUCAGAAAGCCACGGCUAACUACGUGCCAGCAGCCGCGGUAAUACGUAGGUGGCAAGCGUUAUCCGGAAUUAUUGGGCGUAAAGCGCGCGUAGGCGGUUUUUUAAGUCUGAUGUGAAAGCCCACGGCUCAACCGUGGAGGGUCAUUGGAAACUGGAAAACUUGAGUGCAGAAGAGGAAAGUGGAAUUCCAUGUGUAGCGGUGAAAUGCGCAGAGAUAUGGAGGAACACCAGUGGCGAAGGCGACUUUCUGGUCUGUAA